GCCAAAAUGGGCUGGGAAGAGAGCUUUGCCUUGGCAAUCAGGAGGUUCUGAAGUCUUAGUGGAGCUUCAAGAUAAAGAACUUGGAGUUAAGCUGAGGAGCAGAAUGAUUCUUCUAUAACAUGAAAGCUGCUUCAUAUGUAAGACUUAGACACACCAAAAGAUGAAGCCACGACUUCCAGCAAGGUUUAACUGAUGGACAGAGCCAUUAAUGGCUGAAGAAGCAAGAAUUAAAAAUGAAACAAACUUUAAUGCAGACUGCAGGGAUGCACUAUAAUGGAUAGAUCUCAAGUUUAGGCCCCAGAUGACCCCAUUUUUCCUACGUCAAACCACAC
ensembl:lncRNA